rnacentral:ncRNA from 1 species
AGUUAAACGAUGACAGGGACAGUAAAGUUAUUUUUAUCUUAUUGAAGCGAGCCAAGGAUAGUGGAAGCUUGGUAUAAGCAAUAACUGGAAGAUCACCCUCGAGUUCUUGAUUUGAAAACGCGGGAGCGCGCGUAAGUAAAUGAUGGCGUUCAUUCACGUUACGAAUGCAUGAGUGGACAGUGGAUACAUUGUCUAGCAGGGUGGUACCGCGGGAAAACCUUCUCGUCCCUAUU